UUAAACUUACAGAGUAGUACACGCUAUUCCUGUAUGGUAAACUGAGGUCAAAAAGCUAACUUAUGCCGUAGAACGGUAGCUGUGUUCGAGUUCCUUCUUUAUCCUAGGCUGUGAUUCCUUCUUUGUACGUACCCGUUUAUUCGUCUUGAAAAUAAUUCCUUCGUGAAUUUAAGGAAACAUGGAUACGAACUGGUUGUCUCUGAUUUUAGGCUUGAUGGCGCUGAUUAUCGGGCCACGAGUUAGUCAAGGAAAUUCGAUUUCAGGUAAGCCCAAUAAAAUAU